rnacentral:rRNA from 1 species
GACGAACGCUGGCGGCGUGCUUAACACAUGCAAGUCGAACGAAGAAGCCGGAGCUUGCUCUGGUGAAUUAGUGGCGAACGGGUGAGUAACACGUGAGUAACCUGCCCUUGACUCUGGGAUAACUGCGGGAAACUGUAGCUAAUACCGGAUACGACCCUCGGAGGCAUCUCCUGGGGGUGGAAAGAAUUUCGGUCAAGGAUGGACUCGCGGCCUAUCAGCUAGUUGGUUAGGUAAAGGCUCACCAAGGCGACGACGGGUAGCCGGCCUGAGAGGGUGGCCGGGCACACUGGGACUGAGACACGGCCCAGACUCCUACGGGAGGCAGCAGUGGGGAAUAUUGCACAAUGGGCGCAAGCCUGAUGCAGCAACGCCGCGUGAGGGAUGACGGCCUUCGGGUUGUAAACCUCUUUUAGCAGGGAAGAAGCGAAAGUGACGGUACCUGCAGAAAAAGCACCGGCUAACUACGUGCCAGCCGCCGCCGGUAA